GCUACAUGAUGUAUCCUAAGAUAUCAUAGACACUUGUAAUGCUGACUUUUUAUCUAUCACCCUAUUACUGAUGGCU